AGCGGCGGACGGGUGAGUAACGCGUGGGUAACCUGCCUCAUACAGGGGGAUAACAGUUGGAAACGGCUGCUAAUACCGCAUAAGCGCACAGUACCGCAUGGUACGGUGUGAAAAACUCCGGUGGUAUGAGAUGGACCCGCGUCUGAUUAGGUAGUUGGUGGGGUAACGGCCUACCAAGCCGACGAUCAGUAGCCGACCUGAGAGGGUGAUCGGCCACAUUGGAACUGAGACACGGUCCAA
rnacentral:rRNA from 1 species